UAGUUCUCUGCCUCGCCAUGAUAAUGGGGAUGUAUUUUGUUUCUUCGGUCCUCCUCAUCAGAAUGAACAUGCCAGCUCAAUACAAGUCAAUUAUUACAGAGGUGCUGGGAGAUCUCCAGUUUAAUUUUUAUCAUCGCUGGUUCGAUGUCAUCUUCCUUGUCAGUGCGCUUUCCAGUAUAGGAUUUCUGUACAUAGCUCACAAACAGGCACCAGAGAAGGACAUAUUGUAACGUGAGGCUGUGUUCUAUAGAAUGUACAAUUACAUCAACCUCAGACAGGCAUCCAGACAUUGUCACAUGUGUCUGUGUUGUAUACAAUUAAUAAACGACACAUACCCAAACAGAGAAAGACAUAUUGUAACGUGAGGCUGUGUUCUAUAGAAUGUACAUGUACAUCAACCUCAGACAGGCAUCCAGACAUUGUCACAUGUGUCUGUGCUGUAUACAAUUGAUAAACGACACAUACCCAAACAGAGAAGGACAUGUUGUGUGCUGUGAUGCUAAGGGGAUAAAUGUACCCGCAAACAUACAUCAACCUCAGAGACAGGCAUCUAGACAUUGUUACAUGUGUCUGUGUUUUAUACAAUUAAUAAUACAAUACACACACCUUAACAGGAACAAGUGAAGGACAUGAUGUGCACUGUGAUGCUAAGGUGGUAGAUCAUACAUCAUAGAAAGAUUAACAGAAUCUCUCAACCCCUUUGGGUGAGAUAGGGAAAUCCUUAAGUUGUUUUGCUGAGUUUUUGAUAACUUUAGAAUAUUUUCCGGAGGGUUGAAAUUCCCAAUCUCACCUCAAGGGGGGUGAAUGAUUCAUUUUUUAGCUCACCUGCCCGAAUGGCAAGUGAGCUAUGCCAUGGUGCAGCGUCCAUCGUCCGUUGUU